GCCUACGGGACGCAGCAGUGAGGAAUAUUGGUCAAUGGGCGGAAGCCUGAACCAGCCAAGUCGCGUGAGGGAAUAAGGCCCUACGGGUCGUAAACCUCUUUUGCCGGGGAGCAAGGGCGGGGAUGUGUCCCGGCCCGGAGAGUACCCGGAGAAAAAGCAUCGGCUAACUCCGUGCCAGCAGCCGCGGUAAUACGGAGGAUGCGAGCGUUAUCCGGAUUUAUUGGGGUUAAAGGGUGCGUAGGCGGGCUUUUAAGUCAGCGGUAAAAAUUCGGGGCUCAACCCCGGCCGGCCGUUGAAACUGGGGG
rnacentral:rRNA from 1 species